AGUGUGAUCCUGAAUGACAGUUUGUGACCCGGAACCAGAAGUGACGCUGUCCCGCGAUUUUACUUGUUCCUCACGGGUCUUAGCGCCACCCACGUUCAUGUUUCCCCUGUGUACUGUGGAUCAAAAGUAAUGCAACAGCAUGGCUUCCGAUAAAGAACCAAAUAAACAAGGCAGAAGGACUCAGGUCUUUUCCUGGACUGUUUAGGCGGGGGACAAAGCGAAAUUGACCAUGCAUGUACAGGCCAACAAAGAUUGCCAAACACUGGAGCUCAUUCAACUUUACAGUUUUUCUUCUGUGCAAAAAUUUUGACACAACUCCUUCACCUGUUCAAGACUUGCAGCACAUGCAGGCAGGUCUGGGAAAAAGAACUCUUUCGAUGCCAAAAGGCUUUACUCAUGCAGAGGUCUCCAGCUUGUUUCAGAGUACAUAUCCAAAGAUGAAAACAAUCAGUGGUGGAUGGCUUUUGUACAAAGCAGCUGGAGGAAAUGGACGGCGCCAUUUAUCUGUUGUUCCUCCAGAAUCAGAGGGAUACACUGGAAGUACAAUAAGAAGUGCAUCUGCAGGGGGGAAAACCAUGCUGUACAUUGUUCCUUUACAGGAAGAAUUUGAUCUGACACCUCUACCUCACGAUGCACAAGAAUUUGGCCUCAUGCCAAAGGCUGAAUGCAAGACUUGCCUUAAAAUCAUGCCUUUGCAGCUUCUUGCCCUACAUGUAAAACAGUGCAGUGCCCCAGAAACAGUUUCUGAUUCAGAACUAGAUUCGGAACCAGAGCCAAAAGAAGGAACAUGUCCUUUGUGCCAAGUGGUUUUCCCAACCAGGGAUUUGGAGAUACAUGCUAGUGUCUGUGGCGACGUUGGAAGUCACUUGGACAGUCCUGCCUCCUAUGACUCUGCCAGUCCAGUUGGGUUACAACCGCUUCAGAAUGAAGAAAUGUCCUGUGAAGAGGAUGUGCUACGAUGGCUGGCAGCUCAGGUUGAUGCGAGCAAAGAGUUCUGCCUUUGUGUGUCCAGAACUAAUCUCAUAGAGCGUGGACUAAUGCUUUGGCAGCGCCAGAAGCACAGUUCACCACAAAAUGUUUUGAAGGUAACUUUCAUGGGAGAGGCAGGGGUAGACACAGGUGCUCUGCGGAAAGAAUUUCUUACAGAAAUGAUUGCUGGUAUUGAAACCAGACUAUUUGAAGGUGAAGAUGGAAAAGGCAAAAUGCCCAAAUACUCCAUCAAUGACCUGGAUAACGGGCUGUUCCGUGCUGCUGGUGAAAUAUUUGCUGUGAGCUUAGCUCAAGGUGGCCCAGCACCAAAGAUCUUACAAGAAUGGUGCUAUGAUUUCCUUUUAACUGGAAAUCUGGAAACAGUUGAUGUGAAGGAUGUGCAUGACCAAGAGUUGUCUUCAUUAAUCCAGAUGAUGUGUUGCACAAGAAAUGCAUUUAUUUUAGAAAAUGAUGCUGUAGGUAGAUUAAAAGCUGGUUUUGGUUUAUGUUUACUUUAACAAUAAUUAAGAAAUCACUUGUAUUACUAUACUUACACUUUUAAUACUAUAACAUUAUACUUAAACUUUUUGUAUCCCCUUUGAAAUAUUUUUUUCUUAGUAUUUGUCCCAUCUUUUCGUAAGGGCUGCCAUUUGUAUCACACCCAGGUGACUAAUUCUAUGAUCUAAUGAUAAUUAUUUUUUUAAAGUCCAACAUGAAUGAUUAGAGAAAUAUAAGUAGCGCAGUGGCCUAGUGGUAUGAGUGUCUGCCCUGAGACUGGGAGAUUGUGAGUUCAAAUCCACAGUCAGGUCAUACCAAAGACUCAAAAUGGAACCCAAUACGUCCCCGUUUGAAGCAUUAAGGAGUUUGACUGGGUGGGUAAACAACUAAAUAGUUCUAGAGCAUGGUGCCUGUGUCUGCAGCUCACCGCUCUCAAAGGAUGGUUACAAUGCGGAUAUGUUAUUUCACCACACAACAGUGUGUGUCACAACUGCUGGGACUUUACACUUAAAGGGGAUAAAGUUGACAAGUCUGUUAAUAUAUGCACAGUGCAAACAGAUUAGAUAUAAAAAAUUAUGGAAUUUGGUAUAAUUAUGUAUAAUUCUGUAUUUAUUACUGCCCUUAACUCCAGGUUGAAGAAGUGGAGGAUUUAUCAUCUUGCACCGAGCAAAUCAUCAACUGUGGUUACACGGGACCAAUUAAUAAGGACAACAAAGACAAAAUAAAGAGGGCAAUUAUGCUGCACUCAGCUGCAAGACGAACUUUA